UGUGCUCUGUGACCAGGAGCUGUGCAGGGCACAGAGAACUAGAACAGAGGGCACCCAGCCCAUGUGAACUUAGAAACAGUGGAAAUCAGUAGAAUAUUUUAAAGUGGUUCAUGGGUGCUGAGUGAAGAGAAAACUGGAGCAGGGGAGUGGGAGCAGGGCUCCCUGAGACAUUAUCCCAAGGAAGGUGGCGAUGGUGGGUGUGAUUGGUAGGGUAUCCAGGCCUUUGUGGCUGCUGCUCUGGGGGCAGGAUACAAGUUAAAGGGCAAGAGCCCAAAGCAGGAGGACUGGCUGAGCAGGAUCAACCCAUGGCCAUGGUCAACCUCAGUUCUCCUCUAUUUCCUUGACAGUGGGGGACCCCAUCUGACACCCUUAGGGGAAGAGGCAGUGAGUUGAUGCUCCAGGAUCCCCAGCCACUCAAGCCUUGGGAGCUGGGCAACCACUCCUGCUGACUCAUGCGGGACUGAACUUCCCUCAUGUGGUCACCAUAUCCAAGCCCCGGCAGCCAGGAGGAGGAGAGGCGCACCUCCAACAGCGAGAGCUCAGAAAGGUGAGCAAGAGAGGCACCCUCAUCCCUAAUGGGCACCUUGGGCACAGAGGCCACUUGGCAGGUGACCCCCUUCCCCAUGAGCUGUGGCUGAGCUGACACCAACACUGGAGC
rnacentral:lncRNA from 1 species